CCUACGGGUGGCAGCAGUAGGGAAUCUUCCACAAUGGACGAAAGUCUGAUGGAGCAACGCCGCGUGAGUGAAGAAGGGUUUCGGCUCGGAAAGCUCUGUUGGUAGGGAAGAAAGAUAGGGGUAGUAACUGGCCUUUAUUUGACGUUAAUUACUUAGAAAGUCACGGCUAACUACGUGCCAACAGCCGCGGUGAUAGGUAGGUGGGAAGCGUUGUCCGGAUUUAUUGGGCGGAAAGCGAGUGCAGGCGGUUCAAUAAGUCUGAUGUGAACGCGUUCGGCUCAACCGGAGCAUUGCCUCAGAAACUGUUGAACUUGAGUGCAGAAGAGGAGAGUGGAACUCCAGGUGUAGCGAUGGAAUGCGUAGAUAUAUGGAAGAACACCAGUUGCGAAGGCGGCUCUCUGGUC
rnacentral:rRNA from 1 species